GAGGACAUUACGAAUUGGCGUCUUCUACCUUCACCGCCCGCCCUUGGUCUACCUCCUUUGGAGAUUUGGCGGACCUUCGAGGGAACGGCUGCUUCCCCUGUUGUGUGCCAUUGCCGUUCCCGGCUCCCGGAGGACAAUGUCUUCAGACUACUAUAAAUGUGUUGAAAUUUUGUUGUGGGAUCUCUCGGUUCUGGCCUUUAUGAAAAACACCUCUAGGCUCUAUCAUCAAUGAGAAAUGCAGAAUUCUGCGAAUCAUCAAGUCUUUUAACGAAUUUUGCGCCCCUUGGUAUUUCUGAGGGCAUGUCGCUUCCUUUGGCAUUCCACCCCUCAUGCUCUGUUGGGUGUUGGGCCGCUCCGGCACUCUCUGAUUAGUGAUUUAAGGGCGGCGCACUUGGAUGUUGACUGGAGCUUGUUUUCUCGCUCAUGGCUCAUUGCGUACUAUCACUCCCAGCUCCCCAUACUUUGGUGUUAUAACUAAGCGAUCACUGUUUUAUUUUUGCUGAAUUUAAGCAUAUCAAUAGUCGGACGAAUUUCCGAAAAAUCUGAUAACUUGACCUCCAAACCAAGAAGAUUACCCGCAGAACUUAAACAUA
rnacentral:sRNA from 1 species